rnacentral:rRNA from 1 species
AGUGAACGCUGGCGGUAGACCUAACACAUGCAAGUCGAACGGCAGCACAGUAAGAGCUUGCUCUUACGGGUGGCGAGUGGCGGACGGGUGAGGAAUACAUCGGAAUCUACUUUUUCGUGGGGGAUAACGUAGGGAAACUUACGCUAAUACCGCAUACGACCUACGGGUGAAAGCAGGGGAUCUUCGGACCUUUCGCGAUUGAAUGAGCCGAUGUCGGAUUAGCUAGUUGGCGGGGUAAAGGCCCACCAAGGCGACGAUCCGUAGCUGGUCUGAGAGGAUGAUCAGCCACACUGGAACUGAGACACGGACCAGACUCCUACGGGAGGAAGCAGUGGGGAAUAUUGGACAAUGGGGGAAAGCCUGAUCCAGCAAUACCGCGUGGGUGAAGAAGGCCUUCGGGUUGUAAAGACCUUUUGUUGGGAAAGAAAAGCAGCAGGUUAAUACCCCGCUGUUCUGACGGUACCAAAAGAAUAAGCACCGGCUAACUUCGUG